GACAGAGGGUGCAAACGUUGUUCGGAAUUACUGGGCGUAAAGCGCGUGUAGGCGGCCCAGCAAGUCGGAUGUGAAAGCCCUGGGCUUAACCUAGGAAGUGCAUUCGAAACUGCUGGGCUUGAGUUCUGGAGAGGAAGGCGGAAUUCUCGGUGUAGAGGUGAAAUUCGUAGAUAUCGAGAGGAACACCGGUGGCGAAGGCGGCCUUCUGGACAGUGACUGACGCUGAGGAGCGAAAGCCAGGGGAGCAAACGGG
rnacentral:rRNA from 1 species